AUUUGGUUGUGCAACGGCAAACGGCCGAGUUUAUAUCUAGAGUUUGGACACAAACCAGAAAACAGAAACUUGUCCACUGUGGAACUUAGGCAAACUGUUCAGGUUAUUUCUUGUUUUUUAUUUCGAAUUUGGUAGAUAUUGACAUAUCAGAUGAGAAAUUCUCUGGCCUGCCUCUUACAUCUUCAUCACGAUUAUUUACUGGUGAUAAUUAUCCUUUAUCUGUUAUGGUCAGUGCUUCCAUUAUUCAUGACUUUUGGUCACAUUCAUUGUUUAUAGCAUUGUUUUCGUCUGACUAACAUAACGAUUAAUAACAAAUAUAUAUUCCACAUUCUCACAUCAACCACAGUAAUUUUUUUGCUCAAUUAUUGGUUCAACUCAAAGAAGAUAGACAUUUGAGUCAUGUUUAAACACCUGUUAUUUACAUUUACUACUUUCCAAAGUUCAUGAAGCAAUUUUUAUUAUUUGUUCAUGCG